rnacentral:ncRNA from 2 species
AAUGGGAACUAAGGGGUGCUUGCUCGUUUGGGCUUGCUGAGAUCAUACCCAUUGACCUGAUGCGGAUAAUGCCGCCGUAGGGAAAUUCCCCUUUAUUCUU